rnacentral:lncRNA from 1 species
CCCGUCUGCCUAGAGGGCUGAGAUUGCUGUCUCACGGGGUAGGGAGCAUGAGAGAACCACACGCAAAACUAUUUGUUGUUUUUGUUGUUCAGUUGCUAAGUCAUGUCCGACUCUUUGCGACACCGUGAACUACAGCACACCAGGCUUCCCUGUCCUUUACUAUCUCCUGCAGUUUGCACAAACUCAUGUCCAUCGAGUCGGUAUUGCUAUUGGAGACCCACAAAGGGGCCCUGCUGCUGAGAUGCCUUCUGUCUGCGGGCUCUGGGAGGCGGAUUCUGAGCCACCAAGGAAGGCCAACAGAGACGGAAUCCAGGAACUGAGUCUCCAGGCUCAUGUGGAGGACAGGACAGCAGAUGAAGAGUUAAAGAAGACAGAGCUGGGGGUUAAACUUUCCAUCCAGCUCCCCAAGCUGACCCCUUACUCUCCUCCCCCUCAGGGGCUUCAUCUUCACCUGCCACUCAAAGGUAAUCCUUCCUGGGCCUGGUCUUAGGAGGGACUUAGCUCACCGAUAAUUAUUUCUCUUUCUUCCAUGAACAUUAAUCUGCUCAAGUUUUUCUAAUUUUUUUCAAGUUAAUUUUGAUCCUUUAUAUUUUCCUAGAAAAUUGUAUACUUCAUCCAGAUUUCAAAUACAUAACAUACUCUCUUUUAACUCUAAAAAUUAUCACCAUGUUUGUGGUUAUGGUUCAGUUUUCAUUUCUAGUGGUGUUCUCUUUUUUAAAUUGGUUAUAUUCAUCUGAAAUUUAUCCUUUUCAUUUUUUCAAAGAACCAGCCUUGGGUUUUAAAGAUCUGUUUUACUACUUUUUCCCCAAUCUAAUUCAUUCAUUUCUAUUUUAGCUUUAUCUUUUUCUCCUUUUAGUUUUUUUUUUUUAGUCAUGUUUUUUAUUUUCCUUUUUUGUUGUUAAUUUUAAAAACAAGGCUAAAAAAUUCCCUCUAUCAGAGUUUUGGCUCUGUCUCAUAGAUUUUAUCACAUAAUGUUCUUGUUUUCAUUAAUUUCCAAGAAGUUUUUAUGUGUAGUUUUUAUUUCUUAUUUAAAACCGAAAAGCUAUUUUAAAUGCUAGUAGUGUUGAUAUGUUUGUACUUUUGUUUCCAAGGUUUUAGCACAAUUUUUAUUAUCUCUUUGUAAUUCAUUUCUAGCCUUAUUGCAUUAUGGUCUCAGUAUGCAAAUCUGUAUGACUUCGACUUUCUGCAAUUCAAAAAUCUUUCUUGGGACUUCCAGUCCAGUGGUUAAGUCUCUGUGCUUCCAAUACAGGGGAUAAGAUUUCCAUCCCUGGUCAGGGAAAUAAAAUCCCACAUGCCGUGCAGCACAGCCACAAAAAAAAAAAUCUUUCUUGGGAUCUAGGAUGUAGCCAAAUUUCAAAUGUUCCAUAGAUAUUUUUAAAUAUAUAUUCUAUUUGUAGAACAUAUGUACAUAUAUAUAAUCUUAAAAGUAUUGAUUAUAUUUUUUAGAAUUCCGUAUCCUUGUUUCCUCUGGGUGCACUUGGCCCUGAGGCAGGGAUUGUAACCAUCCCGCUGUCAGAAUGGUUUUCUCCAGUCCUCCUGGGAAUUGGUCAGUGUCAGCAGUGGUUGAGGCUCAAUGUUGGUUGUGGUCUCAGAGAGGUGCUGAGGACUCCCAUGAGGAGAGUGACCUCAUGAGUGACCUCCAUGAGGAGUGAUGACCU